UUGGUCCUGAGGGGUUCACCAAGUAGCCAGAAGAAGAAGAAGUGGGAGUACCAUUCCCAAUUCCACAAGGCUCUCAGGCAAGGAUCUGAGCCUGGUGGAAUUCACAUUCUCCUCUAAUUUAGAAAGACCUUUGUUGUCAUUUUGAGCUCUGUCCUGAAGGUCGUGGCGUUUGGUGGUAAAAGGUUUACUUCAAUCAUCACCUUGCAAUCAUCACCUUGAAUCAUAUAUAAUGAAAUGCUGAUAGAAAGCUUAUAUUGCUCAUGCCUGUUGCCUAAAAGUGGCCUCUACACUUACCCUACCCAACUCCUAUACCAGUACCAGUAAACUGCAACCACAAGAAUAAGAACACUGCAAAAUAAGGUGGGAAAAACUGAAGCCAACGGCAACUAUUUCCAAGGAAAUUAGCCAGCAUCAGAAAAUUCCUGGUUAAUAUUAUAAGAAGCCGUCACGCAUUCACCAGCAGGAGCAGUGGAAGUGGAAGCUAGCACCAGCAAGACCCAGUGGAAGAGUUUAUUAAAAGAAAAAAAGCAUUUGUGUACAAUGUUCUGGAUAUUAAGUAUAUAGAAUGCUGUCCGCACCACAGAGGAGGAUUUUUGAAUUCUGGGCCGAGAACACAUCAUGUAUAAAGAAGUCACUGAAGCUGACCUGGCCCCAGGUCUAGGGAGUGCGGAGCCCCCUAACUGCCCACAGACCUCUCCGACUGAUAGUUGGGGCACCGGAAACAGUAGCCUGCAUCUAUAGUGCCUUCUAGAACAUAUUCCUGCACUCCUUAAUCUACUGUAGUUUGGCUUCUGACCAAAAACGUUUACAGAAGCUUUUCUCUAAGACUGAGAAUUGCUUCCAUGUUGCCAAAUCCAAUGAGCACUGUUUGGUUAUAAUUUUAUUUGACUCUCAGCAUCAAUGACACCCUUCUCUGCUUCUGUCCUUUGAAACUCUCUCACAGCUUUUGAGGUUUUCCUCCGGGUUUUCAUCUUUUAUUACCGUUCUUGCUGCCGCUGUGGUUUCUCCUUGGUCACUCCCUUGGCUCCCUUCUUUGAUAUGGUGCUCAGAAUGUCUGGACCCUGGAAUAAAUGUUCUUAGAUAUGACUUGGGAUUCCAGCUGGGA